UACGUAGGGGGCAAGCGUUGUCCGGAUUUAUUGGGCGUAAAGAGCGUGUAGGCGCCGUACAGGUCAGCUGUGAAAACUCGAGGCUCAACCUCGAGACGUCGGUUGAAACCGUACGGCUAGAGUCCGGAAGAGGAGAGUGGAAUUCCCGGUGUAGCGGUGAAAUGCGCAGAUAUCGGGAAGAACACCAGUGGCGAAGGCGGCUCACUGGCUCGUAACUGACGCUCAUGCACGACAGCGUGGGGAUCAAACAGG
rnacentral:rRNA from 1 species